AGUGAACGCUGGCGGUAGGCCUAACACAUGCAAGUCGAACGGCAGCACAGUAAGAGCUUGCUCUUACGGGUGGCGAGUGGUGGACGGGUGAGGAAUACAUCGGAAUCUACUUUUUCGUGGGGGAUAACGUAGGGAAACUUACGCUAAUACCGCAUACGACCGACGGGUGAAAGCAGGGGAUCUUCGGACCUUGCGCGAUUGAAUGAGCCGAUGUCGGAUUAGCUAGUUGGCGGGGUAAAGGCCCACCAAGGCGACGAUCCGUAGCUGGUCUGAGAGGAUGAUCAGCCACACUGGAACUGAGACACGGUCCAGACUCCUACGGGAGGCAGCAGUGGGGAAUAUUGGACAAUGGGCGCAAGCCUGAUCCAGCCAUACCGCGUGGGUGAAGAAGGCCUUCGGGUUGUAAAGCCCUUUUGUUGGGAAAGAAAAGCAGCAGGUUAAUACCCCGCUGUUCUGACGGUACCCAAAGAAUAAGCACCGGCUAACUUCGUG
rnacentral:rRNA from 1 species